UGUCAUAAUUUAGCCUCUUAUGACGUUAAUUAAUGAAACCGUAAAGACUGUUCGUGCAGUCUCUGCGGCAUGGAUUAAGCAGGUCCCUGACCUGCUUUUU
rnacentral:antisense_RNA from 1 species